GACGAACGCUGGCGGCGUGCCUAAUACAUGCAAGUCGAGCGGACAGAAGGGAGCUUGCUCCCGGAAGUUAGCGGCGGACGGGUGAGUAACACGUGGGCAACCUACCCUGUAGAUCGGGAUAACAUCGAGAAAUCGGUGCUAAUACCGGAUAAUCAUUUGAAGUGCAUGCUUCGAAUGUAAAAGAUGGCUCCGGCUAUCACUACGGGAUGGGCCCGCGGCGCAUUAGCUAGUUGGUAAGGUAAUGGCUUACCAAGGCAACGAUGCGUAGCCGACCUGAGAGGGGGAUCGGCCACACUGGGACUGAGACACGGCCCAGACUCCUACGGGAGGCAGCAGUAGGGAAUCUUCCGCAAUGGACGAAAGUCUGACGGAGCAACGCCGCGUGAGUGAUGAAGGUUUUCGGAUCGUAAAGCUUUGUUGUUAGGGAAGAACAAGUGCCGUUUGAAUAAGGCGGCACCUUGACGGUACCUAACCAGAAAGCCACGGCUAACUACGUGCCAGCCGCCGCCGUAAUAC
rnacentral:rRNA from 1 species